rnacentral:rRNA from 1 species
AGUAGGGAUCUUCCACAAUGGACGAAAGUCUGAUGGAGCAACGCCGCGUGAGUGAAGAAGGUUUUCGGAUCGUAAAACUCUGUUGUUGGAGAAGAAUGUAUCUGAUAGUAACUGAUCAGGUAGUGACGGUAUCCAACCAGAAAGCCACGGCUAACUACGUGCCAGCAGCCGCGGUAAUACGUAGGUGGCAAGCGUUGUCCGGAUUUAUUGGGCGUAAAGCGAGCGCAGGCGGUUUCUUAAGUCUGAUGUGAAAGCCUUCGGCUCAACCGAAGAAGUGCAUCGGAAACUGGGAAACUUGAGUGCAGAAGAGGACAGUGGAACUCCAUGUGUAGCGGUGAAAUGCGUAGAUAUAUGGAAGAACACCAGUGGCGAAGGCGGCUGUCUGGUCUGUAACUGACGCUGAGGCUCGAAAGCAUGGGUAGCAAACAGGAUUAGAUACCCUGGUAGUCCAUGCCGUAAACGAUGAGUGCUAGGUGUUGGAGGGUUUCCGCCCUUCAGUGCCGCAGCUAACGCAUUAAGCACUCCGCCUGGGGAGUACGACCGCAAGGUUGAAACUCAAAGGAAUUGACGGGGCCCCCCCA